UUUACAUUUUUGUAUGCACAAUUUCUGCAUUAUGCCCACAAGAAAAAAAGAAAAUAAUACAUACUUAAGAAAAAGAAACAUACGUAAAACACUUGCAUUAUGCAUUUACCAACAAUGACAGAAAUGCUGAAAUAAACAAAUUAUAAACUUUCAUGAAUAGUAUAAGUAUACAUAAUAUGUAUACUAACAAGUAAAUAACAAAAAAUGUGUGUCCAACCAGCACUGAAGUCUGCUACAAAACAUCUAAAAACAAUAAUAAGCCUCUAUAAGACACCAUGCCCAAUUAACAGUAGCAUAAACAUGAUAAACUACAAAAUCUUUUCUGUCCAAUUAUAAGCAUUUUGUGUCAAAAUAUAUUUUAUGUAUAGGAUAUUUGUGUCAAUAUGUAUCUAUAACAAAUUUGUGUCAUUUAGAAUUAUCUUUUGUGAUGAAUUGAUUGACAAAUAAAUUAUAGAAUAAUUGCAAUACAUAUUAGAGAGAACAACAAACCAUAUAAUAACUGGCCUCCUCCGAAUAUAUAUAAAGGCGAUACCUAACGCUACAGGGAGAUAACUCUGUAAAAUCAGCUAAACGUUUUAAUUACGUUGUGUUGUUUUGGGAAUAUUAAGCUUCUCGAUGAUCAAAAUAAGUGUUUGUCAAACUGCUAUAUAACCAGUGUAAUUUUUCUGUUAAAACGGUUAAUUAAAAUUUUU
rnacentral:lncRNA from 1 species